rnacentral:rRNA from 1 species
CAGGACGAACGCUGGCGGCGUGCCUAAUACAUGCAAGUCGAGCGGACAGAAGGGAGCUUGCUCCCGGAUGUUAGCGGCGGACGGGUGAGUAACACGUGGGUAACCUGCCUGUAAGACUGGGAUAACUCCGGGAAACCGGAGCUAAUACCGGAUAGUUCCUUGAACCGCAUGGUUCAAGGAUGAAAGACGGUUUCGGCUGUCACUUACAGAUGGACCCGCGGCGCAUUAGCUAGUUGGUGAGGUAACGGCUCACCAAGGCGACGAUGCGUAGCCGACCUGAGAGGGUGAUCGGCCACACUGGGACUGAGACACGGCCCAGACUCCUACGGGAGGCAGCAGUAGGGAAUCUUCCGCAAUGGACGAAAGUCUGACGGAGCAACGCCGCGUGAGUGAUGAAGGUUUUCGGAUCGUAAAGCUCUGUUGUUAGGGAAGAACAAGUGCAAGAGUAACUGCUUGCACCUUGACGGUACCUAACCAGAAAGCCACGGCUAACUACGUGCCAGCAGCCGCGGUAAUACGUAGGUGGCAAGCGUUGUCCGGAAUUAUUGGGCGUAAAGGGCUCGCAGGCGGUUUCUUAAGUCUGAUGUGAAAGCCCCCGGCUCAACCGGGGAGGGUCAUUGGAAACUGGGAAACUUGAGUGCAGAAGAGGAGAGUGGAAUUCCACGUGUAGCGGUGAAAUGCGUAGAGAUGUGGAGGAACACCAGUGGCGAAGGCGACUCUCUGGUCUGUAACUGACGCUGAGGAGCGAAAGCGUGGGGAGCGAACAGGAUUAGAUACCCUGGUAGUCCACGCCGUAAACGAUGAGUGCUAAGUGUUAGGGGGUUUCCGCCCCUUAGUGCUGCAGCUAACGCAUUAAGCACUCCGCCUGGGGAGUACGGUCGCAAGACUGAAACUCAAAGGAAUUGACGGGGGCCCGCACAAGCGGUGGAGCAUGUGGUUUAAUUCGAAGCAACGCGAAGAACCUUACCAGGUCUUGACAUCCUCUGACAACCCUAGAGAUAGGGCUUUCCCUUCGGGGACAGAGUGACAGGUGGUGCAUGGUUGUCGUCAGCUCGUGUCGUGAGAUGUUGGGUUAAGUCCCGCAACGAGCGCAACCCUUGAUCUUAGUUGCCAGCAUUCAGUUGGGCACUCUAAGGUGACUGCCGGUGACAAACCGGAGGAAGGUGGGGAUGACGUCAAAUCAUCAUGCCCCUUAUGACCUGGGCUACACACGUGCUACAAUGGACAGAACAAAGGGCUGCGAGACCGCAAGGUUUAGCCAAUCCCACAAAUCUGUUCUCAGUUCGGAUCGCAGUCUGCAACUCGACUGCGUGAAGCUGGAAUCGCUAGUAAUCGCGGAUCACAUGCCGGNGGGAAAUAAAGUUUCCCGGGGCCUUGUACACACCGCCCGUCACACCACGAGAGUUUGCAACACCCGAAGUCGGUGAGGUAACCUUUAUGGA